UGUAAGCGUAUACCAAAGUUGUUGCAGUUAAAACGCUCGUAGUCGGAAUUUGGCAGUUCCGGAUGUGUGCACGUCGUGUGCGCACUUCGCGGGGAUUGCUUUUGUGGUCUUGCGUAGGAUGAGGCACUUUUAUUAGUGAACGUCCUCACGCAACCACUUUUUACUGUGAGAAAAUCAGAGUGCUCAAAGCAGGCAUUCGCCGUGAAUGUAUUAGCAUGGAAUAAUAGAAUAGGACUUGGUUCUAUUUUGUUGGUUUGUUGGGACUGAGUAAUGAUUAAGAGGGACAGUUGGGGGCAUUUGUAUUUCGGUGCUAGAGGUGAAAUUCUUAGAUUACCGAAAGACAAACUGCUGCGAAAGCGUCUGCCAAGGAUGUUUUCAUUGA
rnacentral:rRNA from 1 species